GACGAACGCUGGCGGCGUGCUUAACACAUGCAAGUCGAACGAAGAGCGAUGGAAGCUUGCUUCUAUCAAUCUUAGUGGCGAACGGGUGAGUAACGCGUAAUCAACCUGCCCUUCAGAGGGGGACAACAGUUGGAAACGACUGCUAAUACCGCAUACGAUCUAAUCUCGGCAUCGAGGAUAGAUGAAAGGUGGCCUCUACAUGUAAGCUAUCACUGAAGGAGGGGAUUGCGUCUGAUUAGCUAGUUGGAGGGGUAACGGCCCACCAAGGCGAUGAUCAGUAGCCGGUCUGAGAGGAUGAACGGCCACAUUGGGACUGAGACACGGCCCAGACUCCUACGGGAGGCAGCAGUGGGGAAUCUUCCACAAUGGAAGAAAGUCUGACGGAGCAACGCCGCGGGAGUGAUGACGGCCUUCGGGUUGUAAAGCUCUGUUAAUCGGGACGAAAGGCCUUCUUGCGAAUAGUGAGAAGGAUUGACGGUACCGGAAGAGAAAGCCACGGCUAACUACGUG
rnacentral:rRNA from 1 species